UACGGAGGGGACUAGCGUUGUUCGGAAUUACUGGGCGUAAAGCGCACGUAGGCGGAUUUGUAAGUCAGGGGUGAAAUCCCGAGGCUCAACCUCGGAACUGCCUUUGAUACUGCAAAUCUCGAGUCCGGAAGAGGUGAGUGGAAUUCCUAGUGUAGAGGUGAAAUUCGUAGAUAUUAGGAAGAACACCAGUGGCGAAGGCGGCUCACUGGGACGGUACUGACGCUAAGGCGCGAAAGCGUGGGGAGCGAACAGG
rnacentral:rRNA from 1 species